UACUCUCACACUCCCGAUCUUUGCAUUGGGAGCAGUGGACUUGGGUUUGCUGCUUCACCGUCGCUUACCUCAAAUAGGUUAGUGCAACUCUUGGUUGGACAUAGUACGGCGUGAUAAGUGUUCUUCGCCGGUGCCUCGCAAAGAGGGUGGCCGAUCGGGAUGUUGUGCUCCAAACCGUCUUCGGACAAUCUCUGACA
rnacentral:misc_RNA from 1 species